GCGUCAUCACUUCCGGCUCUGCAUUCUUAGGCAGCAAUAUAGAAACAUCCUGUCUUCUACAUUCAAGCGAUUGAGGGUCACCAUGGUAACAACACCUCCAACACAGACAUAAGUCAAGGCGCUAUCUGAUGUUGGACCAGACUCAAUGAGAGGAGCUGAGGAGGGGAAAAAGGAGGGGGUGCUAACCAGCCUCUGUGGAAUUGUGUGUGUCUUUUCCACAGAGAGCUGAGAGAGUGCCACUCGCAUCGCCGCAGUCGCAGCUUAGCAACGUGUCUGUCAAAGUGAAAACAUCCUUCAAAUACGCACCACAAAUCCAUUAGUGUGACGCGCACAUUCACGCACACUCGCGUUGAUGAUGCCAAUGAUGCAGAGGAGGAGGCGUGGAUGAUGAGAUAAGCUUGUAUCCAAAAAACGUCUUUAAGGCAAAAGUGAAAAGAAGCAAAUGCAUUCCUUGGACAAAAUGGAGACAAAUCACUGCAGGUUUUUUUUUUUAAGCACUGUGUCUUAACUUGCUUGACAGUUUGUUCGUGACAGAAUAAUUAAAUCACUGCAAUGAAAAGCAUCACCCUGUUCCAUCAUGGGGAUUAUAAGGUUAGAGUAUUAUUUUCUCCAUUUGUGUAAUUAAAAAAAAUACCUUUACAUUCUAUAUGGAUGCGCAACAUUCCCCUCUUGGUAAUAAUCAAUAGGAGAAACUCUUUAUUGCAUGACUGUUGAAUUAUAGAGCAUCAUUUUUAGUUUGGUAGAUGUAAUUAAUACGCAAGUGCGUGCUAUCAUCCAUCAAUGUUAUUAUCCUAUCGUAAAAUUAUAAUUUAAUUGUUGUGUUUUCCUUGUAGUAUUUUGGCCUACAAAAUUACUAAUUAAUUUUUUUGUCAUACAGUUAAAUUUAGGCUCUUUAAAAAAUGUCUUCAUUCAUCAUUCAUACUAAUUUUAAUGUAAAAUUAUGACUUUAUUCUCAUGAAUUAUGUUUUCUUUCUCUCGUAAAGUUUCAACUUUUAUUUGAGUAGCAUUAGAACUUUAUUCUCAUCUUUCUAUCAUUUUAUCAUCCGCUUAGUUUGUUUUGGCGUGGCACAAAUAAUCCGUCAUACUGCAGGUCUCAUAGGCUAAUAUGUAAAAUAAUCUCUAUAUUGUUUUGUGAGCAUUUUGGUGUCGGCUCGCUAACCAUUAGCCCGCUAAGACACUGUUAAUGAGUGUGUGAGAAAAUUGGAUUUUAAAAGGGUGGAUUUAUAAAACCGUAGUUCAAACAAGUGACGAGGGAAUGAAGAAAAAGGAGCAUGAGGGGGAGGAGUAUACCUCCCUGAGGCACUCCUAGAACAAGCAAGAACCAUGACAUGGAUGUCAAGGUUAGCGCGAGAGUCAAAGAGCGACACUGCGAGCAUUGGUGGCUGACGCCUGCGCCCUCUGCACCACGCCAGGACACUUUUCUCGCCUUUGGAGUUUGUGGUUUUGGAACAAUCCCUCGUUCCGUGGAAUGCCAUGUGUUCCAUGCGGGAACGUCAACAGCCCUGAAGGCAAACGGGUUCCAUGACGUCAGAGCACAAUGUCCAUAUGUCAGCAUAGUGUUGGACUUACCAUAUCCCUCCACACGGCCGUCUUUGAAUUCCCCCUCAAAUUUCAUGCCGUCAAAACGACUGAAGAUGCCCAGGCCCUGAAACUUUCCGUGCGCAAACUCCCCCUCGUACCUGUCAGAGCAACAAAUCUAAAAGAUUUAAGAUCAAGACAUCCCUGGUAGCGCUUCCCUCUUGCCUGCCCACCUGGAUCCGUCUGUAAAGAGCAGGACUCCGGCGCCGUGGAAAAGGCCAUCUUCAAACUGCCCUGAGAAACAUGUUCCAUCCUGGAAUUUGAGCUGGCCAACGCCAUGCCUGCGGCCUGGAAAACCAGCAGAGAAACCCCAAAUUUAAAACACUAAUAUGUGCUGAUACAGCUGUUCUGCUUAUCUUUUACCUUUGACAUCACAGUGAUUCAACAGUGAGGUGAAAAUGUAGACCGUCUUGCUCACAUACACAAUUUACUAGAUUGUUUAAUUUCACAGUAGAUGAAACACAAGUCAUUAGAAAAAACUGUUUCCCAUAAUGUAAACGCAUAAACGGUCAUUCAUGCAGAAGAGUGACCCGAAAAAUGCAGACUUUUCCCAUCAGCGUUGCUAUAGUGUCUGUCACGUGAAUCACUGGAAACUUCCCCCUGCACCUCCCCUCUGUCAGCUAAAGGUUUAGCAGUGAAUUAGGAGUCCCAUCUGCCUCCUGUGUGACAGGAAUUAACUGCACUCUAAUCCAACUGAUAUUUAGCAGGGAUUUCUGCUUUAGGAACCAGCCGAGGAAUGCUCGUGCAUUCCCAUGAUACCCCGCGGCGUCCAAAACAGCUUGACGAGGAAUUCAUCAAUUCAUUCAUCUGCUUUAAGGUUGAGGACAUUCACUUGCCUUCUUUCCACUCGCCAUGGUACUCCUCUCCAGUGGCGUAGGUGAAGGAGCCUCUGGUCAGAGUCAUGUCGCCCCCUCUAUCUGACAAACACAUGUACGUACAUGAGGUUUACCUUUGACCUCGCACUUGAUGGCCACUGCUGCAGAGACAAAUUGCCCUGAUGGGAUUAUCACAGUGUCACUGGGAAAAAGGAGAACUGUGUCUCUCUUUGUGUCUCUUUUAUUUAGUCACGCAUGUCACCAAGUUGGAUAGACACAUGAGAAAAGAAUACAGUACACUGUUGUCCGAUAUUAAAAAUGGAUUUGUCAAACUGUACAAAGUGAGAGCUUUUGUGAAAUUUCCUACAUAAAAAAAAUUGAGGUUGACUCAAUGGUGGGCAAUAAUGGGUUCAAUAUUAUUGGAGCCAUAUUGGGAAUUUUAUUAAUGUCUUAUGAUGAGAUCCUGCCACACAUGCAUACAUGUACAAAUGUCAUGACAAUGUGACCUUUUCCGAUUAAAACAUGUUAGGUGGACCCGUUCAAAUAAAUAAGGUAUAUUUAUAACCAAACAAUUUGGAUGAAUAAUUUUAGAUACAUUUACAACAGAAAUAUAUGUUUUCUGCUGUGUUGACCUUAGGGUGCACAUUAAUGCCAUCAAUAUUGUUGGACAUUCUCUCAGUGUAUUUGACCACAUGUGAAAAUAUUUCGUGUAUGAUCUGUUGAUGCUAAACAGAAUUUAAUUUAAAAAUGUUGUUAAAAACAAGCCAUAACGAGAAUAUGACCAUUUCCAAAUGCUACUGCAAACAAGUGUUACAGAAUGGAAGCCAGGUAUCAUUUUACGCACAAGCUCGCUAUUCUAAAAGCAUCGAUAGAAUGCUGUCGGUAAUUAUUGUUAUUAAAGAAAUAAUAAUAAUAAUGUCUGUGUCUCGAUUCAGCGUUCACGCAAUUGCAUGUACAAUAUCUCGCUUUUACAAUCGAGUCAAUUGUCACCUCUCACGAGAUAUUUGUGCAUCAAACAGCGAGCAUUGUAAAGCUUAUAAAUGUUUAUUUAUUUACCUGUGCGCUACGUUUGUUGUCUCUGAAGCAUGUAGGCGACGUAGAGCAGCCGAGGGGCGUAAAAAAUAUGAUAACCGGCGGAGGACCGUAUGCUACCUUCAUUAGCUCUCGUAAAGUGGGAAAUCUCCUGUGAAAUAUU